UACGAAGGGUGCAAACGUUGCUCGGAAUUAUUGGGCGUAAAGCGCACGUAGGCGGCUUUGCAAGUCGGAUGUGAAAUCCCUCGGCUUAACCAAGGAAGUGCAUCCGAAACUGCAGAGCUUGAGUACUUAAGAGGAUCGCGGAAUUCCCGGUGUAGAGGUGAAAUUCGUAGAUAUCGGGAGGAACACCAAUUGCGAAGGCAGCUCGCUACACAUAUAUUGACUCUGAGGCACGAGAGCGUGGGGAUCAAACAGG
rnacentral:rRNA from 1 species